rnacentral:rRNA from 1 species
UACGUAGGGUGCAAGCGUUAAUCGGAAUUACUGGGCGUAAAGCGUGCGCAGGCGGUUCGUUGUGUCGGUGGUGAAAUCCCCGGGCUUAACCUGGGAAUGGCCAUGGAAACUGGCGAACUGGAGUGCGGCAGAGGGGGGUGGAAUUCCGCGUGUAGCAGUGAAAUGCGCAGAUAUCAGGAGGAACACCGGUGGCGAAGGCGGUUCUCUGGGAAUGUUCUGACGCUGAGGAGCGAAAGUGUGGGGAGCGAACAGG